rnacentral:snRNA from 1 species
AUACUUACCUAAUGGGGAAGAUGCCAUGAUCACAACGGUGGUUUUCACAGAGCAAGGGUUAUCCAUUGCAUUCUGGAUGUGCUAACCCCUGCAAUUUCUCCAAAUGCAGGAAUUUUGACUGAGUAAUUUGUGGCAGUGGGGGACUGAGUUCACACUUUCCACUG